GACGAACGCUGGCGGCGUGCCUAAUACAUGCAAGUCGAACGCAGUGGGGACGGGUGAGUAACAUGUGGGUAACCUCACAUCAAAGGGGUUAACACUUGGAAACAGGUGCUUAACCGACAUUGAUGGAUGAACAAGCGGUGCAUUAGCUAGUUGGUGAGGUAACGGCUCACCAAGGCCACGAUGCCUAACCGAUCUGAAAGGAGGACGCGCAACACGGGGACUGAGACACGGCCCAGACUCCUACGGGAGGCAGCAGUGGGGAAUCGUCAGCUGUGGACGAAAGUCUGACCAAGCUACGGCGCGUGUGUGAAGAAGUUUUUCGGGUCGUAAACCUCUUUUGUUAGAGAGGCGGUAUCUGACCAGAAAGCCUCGGCUAACUACGUGGCAGCAGCCGCGGUAAGAC
rnacentral:rRNA from 1 species